GACGAACGCUGGCGGCGUGCUUAACACAUGCAAGUCGAACGGAAAGGCCCUGCUUUUGUGGGGUGCUCGAGUGGCGAACGGGUGAGUAACACGUGAGUAACCUGCCCUUGACUUUGGGAUAACUUCAGGAAACUGGGGCUAAUACCGGAUAGGAGCUCCUGCUGCAUGGUGGGGGUUGGAAAGUUUCGGCGGUUGGGGAUGGACUCGCGGCUUAUCAGCUUGUUGGUGGGGUAGUGGCUUACCAAGGCUUUGACGGGUAGCCGGCCUGAGAGGGUGACCGGGCACAUUGGGACUGAGAUACGGACCAGACUCGUACGGGAGGCAGCAGUGGGGAAUAUUGCACAAUGGGCGGAAGCCUGAUGCAGCAACGCCGCGUGCGGGAUGACGGCCUUCGGGGUGUAAACCGCUUUCGCCGGUGACGAAGCGUGAGUGACGGUAAUGGGUAAAGAAGCACCGGCUAACUACGUG
rnacentral:rRNA from 1 species